GUAGGGAAUUUUCGGCAAUGGGGGAAACCCUGACCGAGCAACGCCGCGUGAAGGAAGAAGGUUUUCGGAUUGUAAACUUCUGUUAUAAAGGAAGAACGGCGGCUACAGGAAAUGGUAGCCGAGUGACGGUACUUUAUUAGAAAGCCACGGCUAACUACGUGCCAGCAGCCGCGGUAAUACGUAGGUGGCAAGCGUUAUCCGGAAUUAUUGGGCGUAAAGAGGGAGCAGGCGGCAGCAAGGGUCUGUGGUGAAAGCCUGAAGCUUAACUUCAGUAAGCCAUAGAAACCAGGCAGCUAGAGUGCAGGAGAGGAUCGUGGAAUUCCAUGUGUAGCGGUGAAAUGCGUAGAUAUAUGGAGGAACACCAGUGGCGAAGGCGACGAUCUGGCCUGCAACUGACGCUCAGUCCCGAAAGCGUGGGGAGCAAAUAGGAUUAGAUACCCUAGUAGUCC
rnacentral:rRNA from 1 species